rnacentral:piRNA from 1 species
UCCAGCAGGUUUUUACUGUUCAAGUAAUUGG